GUAGGUGGUGCGCGGUACUUUGGCGCAUUUACUGACUACAGAUCAGGAUUUGUAUAUGCGUGUUUUAUGAAAACUCGCGAUGAAAUCUUUGAAAAGUUCAAAGUAUACAAGGUGUCUGCAGAAAACAUACUGGACGCAAGCUAAAAUGUCUCAGCGACAACAGUCCUGAAUUUUUGAGCGGCGAUUUCGAAAAAUAUUUAGUGAGCAACGGCAUCAAGAGACAGCGUAUUGUGUCGUAUAAACCCCAACAAAAUAGUGUAGCGGAGCGCGCGAACUGACACGAAUAAACCUGUUUCAUGAAAAGUAAUCGAAACAAGUGAUGUGAUAUUUUUUGAAGGUGAAACGACGGAUGACAGCGUAAGGGACCCAUUAUCGUUGGUCAGGAAGAAAGUCGACAAUGAGCCUGUAUGUCUUCAUAAUGGCCAUCAAACUGAGGAUCGCGUGAAUUCCGAACGAGAUAACAAGGUGCCAAAUAUAUCUACAGAUGGAGACAUUGGUGAUAAUGAGAAAAUAGAGUCAUGCGAAGCACCGGGCAAAAUUAGUCCUGGGCGGCCAAAGAAAGUGCGCACCGAGCAGCCAGGACGCCAACGAAAACAGUAUGAUAUUUUGAAUUUUAUGACAAAGUAGUUGCACCUGCUAGCGUCAUUGCACCGUUGAUUUCCGAUCAGUGAAAGGAGGGCGUCGAUGUAGAAGGAGAUAGAUAGUCUAUAAGCCAACAAGCCUUGGAAGUUGUUGAUCUACUAAAGGGAGAGAAGGCAAUUGGAUGUACCCAAUAAUAUGGCGUAAAUAACAAUGAGAAUUUCUGCCCUGUGGCCAGAUUUUCGACAGUCAGCUUAGUGAUUGCUCUAGCGAUAGAAAAUGGUUCGUAUAUGCAUCAGAUUGUGUAUUCUGCUUAUCUUAGAAGUGAUCUGCGAGAUGGUUUAUAUGCGGAGUGAUUUGCUAACCAAGAUUUCUCUGAACGAGUUCUAAAACUCAAGAAGGCUCUAUUCAGCCUUAAACAGAGUUGCCGUGAGUUAAAUGAGAAACUGAACGCCGUGGUCAUCAAGAUUGGUACUACAUUGAGAACCUUCUGCGUGAGUCUGGUAUGCACAACUGCAAAUCUAAUGCCAUAGAGGAAGGAUUUCAAGUCAGAUGCGACAUUGACGGAUGUCAGCGAGCGAACCAGGCUAACUAUCAAUCAUUGAGGCACUGCUGAGUGGAGUUUGCACUACCAGAAGACCAGUCAGGUGAUACACUGUUACGUCGAUACAGAUUGGGCUGGAGACAGCACGGACUGGAAGUUCUACAGUGGCUGGGCGUUCAUUGCAGCAGGUGCUGUUUUCACAUGGGAGUAAAAAAAGCGUAGCGUCGAAGCAUUAAGCAGCACUGAGGCAGAGUAUGUGGUACUCUCACUGGUAGCUAGGGAAGCUGCACAUAUACGCAAAGUUAUGCGUGAAAUGGAAUUCAGCGAGGGAUCUGCAACAAGGAUAUUUAGCGAUAAUCAGAGCCCUCAAUGCUUGGCAAAAGGUGCUAAAUUCCAUUCGCGUAGUAAGCAUAUCGACAUAAAUAUCAUCAUAUCAGAUAUAUAGUCAAAAAUAAUGUAUCUCCCAAGAACAUGAUCGAAAAAACCUUUCUAAAGUAAAGCACAAGGAAUUUGUUAACUUAAUGGGUACGCGUUGAGUAUGUAAUAGCUUACUUUGUUUAAGUAGACAAACGACGUUGAGAAGGUGUUGGAAAUAAUUGUAUUUGUAUUUUAUUUGAAGAAAGCUUUGAAAGUUGACGAAUAGAGAAAAACGUAUUUUGUACUAAAAGAAUUGCAUCAAAAUCUUAAGUUAUACUAAGUUCUCAGAUCGUUGCCCUAUUCGCACUUAUUUGCUUUAGCAAUAUUUCAACGUCAGAUAAUAAAGCUUAAGAACAGCGGCACUUUAUAUUGUAGAAGG